UCCGGCUUUCACCGGCUGUCUCUCUAGAGUGCCCAGCUUUACCUGCUGGCAACUAAAAAUAAGGGUUGCGCUCGUUGCGGGACUGAACCCAACAUCUCACGACACGAGCUGACGACAACCAUGCACCACCUGUCUCCUCUGUCCCGAAGGCCAGUAAUAUCUCUACUACUUCCAGAGGGAUGUCAAGACCUGGUAAGGUUCUUCGCGUUGCUUCGAAUUAAACCACAUGCUCCACCGCUUGUGCGGGCCCCCGUCAAUUCCUUUGAGUUUCAGCCUUGCGGCCGUACUCCCCAGGCGGAGUGCUUAAUGGGUUUCCUUCGGCACUGUAGGUCGUUGACCUCCAACACCUAGCACUCAUCGUUUACAGCGUGGACUAC
rnacentral:misc_RNA from 1 species